AUUGAACGCUGGCGGCAGGCCUAACACAUGCGAGUCGAACGGUAACAGGAAGAAGCUUGCUUCUUUGCUGACGAGUGGCGGACGGGUGAGUAAUGUCUGGGAAACUGCCUGAUGGAGGGGGAUAACUACUGGAAACGGUAGCUAAUACCGCAUAACGUCGCAAGACCAAAGAGGGGGACCUUCGGGCCUCUUGCCAUCGGAUGUGCCCAGAUGGGAUUAGCUAGUAGGUGGGGUAACGGCUCACCUAGGCGACGAUCCCUAGCUGGUCUGAGAGGAUGACCAGCCACACUGGAACUGAGACACGGUCCAGACUCCUACGGGAGGCAGCAGUGGGGAAUAUUGCACAAUGGGCGCAAGCCUGAUGCAGCCAUGCCGCGUGUAUGAAGAAGGCCUUCGGGUUGUAAAGUACUUUCAGCGGGGAGGAAGGGAGUAAAGUUAAUACCUUUACUCAUUGACGUUACCCGCAGAAGAAGCACCGGCUAACUCCGU
rnacentral:rRNA from 1 species